rnacentral:rRNA from 1 species
AAACCAACAGGGAUUGCCUUAGUAGCGGCGAGUGAAGCGGCAAAAGCUCAAAUUUGAAAUCUGGCUCUUUCAGAGUCCGAGUUGUAAUUUGAAGAAGGUAUCUUUGGGUCUGGCUCUUGUCUAUGUUUCUUGGAACAGAACGUCACAGAGGGUGAGAAUCCCGUGCGAUGAGAUGAUCCAGGCCUAUGUAAAGUUCCUUCGAAGAGUCGAGUUGUUUGGGAAUGCAGCUCUAAGUGGGUGGUAAAUUCCAUCUAAAGCUAAAUAUUGGCGAGAGACCGAUAGCGAACAAGUACAGUGAUGGAAAGAUGAAAAGAACUUUGAAAAGAGAGUGAAAAAGUACGUGAAAUUGUUGAAAGGGAAGGGCUUGAGAUCAGACUUGGUAUUUUGUAUGUUACUUCUUCGGGGGUGGCCUCUACAGUUUAUCGGGCCAGCAUCAGUUUGGGCGGUAGGAGAAUUGCGUUGGAAUGUGGCACGGCUUCGGUUGUGUGUUAUAGCCUUCGUCGAUACUGCCAGCCUAGACUGAGGACUGCGGUUUAUACCUAGGAUGU